CCUACGGGGGGCUGCAGUGGGGAAUAUUGGACAAUGGGGGCAACCCUGAUCCAGCCAUGCCGCGUGUGUGAAGAAGGCCCUCGGGUUGUAAAGCACUUUCAGUGAGGAAGAACGCCUGGUGGUUAAUACCCAUCAGGAAAGACAUCACUCACAGAAGAAGCACCGGCUAACUCCGUGCCAGCAGCCGCGGUAAUACGGAGGGUGCGAGCGUUAAUCGGAAUUACUGGGCGUAAAGCGCGCGUAGGUGGCUUGAUAAGCCGGUUGUGAAAGCCCCGGGCUCAACCUGGGAACGGCAUCCGGAACUGUCAAGCUAGAGUGCAGGAGAGGAAGGUAGAAUUCCCGGUGUAGCGGUGAAAUGCGUAGAGAUCGGGAGGAAUACCAGUGGCGAAGGCGGCCAUCUGGACUGACACUGACACUGAGGUGCGAAAGCGUGGGUAGCAAACAGGAUUAGAUACCCGGGUAGUC
rnacentral:rRNA from 1 species